rnacentral:lncRNA from 1 species
ACCCUGAAUUCGCUCAGGGACGAAAACGCGCAGAAAGGGAAUUUGCUUCAAAGAUUUGUUCCUCUUCCUGGUGCACUCAGAUGCGCAUUCCUGAGCAGGGGCGCCUUCGCCAGCGGCGUUUGAGGGGAGCGAGGACCGCGCAGCGCCCCUUCGGGGAGAGACGUGACCAGGAGUCGCGUUAGGACUGCAAAGGCUGGCUCUGGCGGGGCUUUCGGGUCGCCGGGUCCUCAAUGUGGGGUUUGGGACGGGACGAGAAGGGGGUGCGCCUUGCGGAUCGCCUCUUUCCCCCCGGACCCAAAGAGUCCACGCGAGGCCACAGUCCCCUCUCCCCUCCCCCGAGUUAUAAAAAGGAGGAGGGGCCGCCUCCGAGGAGAAACCCGAGUCGGGCGGAGGGGGCCGAGUGACGGCGGGAGGAAGGACCCCUCGGAGGAAGGGCCCGAAGCAGGGAGAGCGGGGAACCCGGGCUCAGGCCACCCCGCCCGCGCGCACGGCCUGGAGUCUGGGGAACUGGGGUGACUCUAGCGAGGUUUUAAGGAAACGAAGACGGCGUUGGGGAGACUGGUUCUAGAAGUAACCUGAGACCGAGCGCCCAGGAACACUCUGUACGACGCGCCGGGCGUCUCAGUGGCCCCGUGUGCCUUGGUUCUGCGGCGUGUGCCCUUUCGGGAUCCCAUCUUCGUUGCAGAAGCAACCAUUUGAUCCUCCAUUUAGAAUCUGCGUAGGAAUGUUUUAAUGCGUCUUAGAAACCAGGCUAAUUAAAGAGUUUUCAAAACACAAAGCGGGGUUAUCCUCGUUCUCGGGUAGCGUUUUCUGAUUGGCAAACGUUCUUUUGUUCUCGGUUAAAUCUUCGUCUUGAGCCAGGCGCUGGGCGCUCGCGCGCGCUCUCUGGUUACUCCUGCGGGGGUCAUAAGUCACCAGGGGGCCUCUCCCCUCUCUCCGGGCUGCCAGGAAUAUCAGGAAUUCCCAUGCAGGAAAGUGACAUGUUGAGAAGGAAAAGAAAAAAAUCAAUCAAUCAAUCUCUCCUCCUCCUCCUCUUUCCUCUGUCUCUCUCUCUCUCUCUCUCACACACACACACACACACACACACACACAGCAAUCCUGUGCUUUAAAAAACGUUAUUCCUGGCGGAGCCCUUCUGCCUCAGUCCCGGGUGCUGGAGCUCUGAGCGAUUUCUGAUCAGGUUGAACCUUGGCAGAAGUUGCUGUCUCUGCUGCCUCCCGUGCGCUUCUUCUACAGCAGGAAAAAAACUCAUUCUGAAAUCGAAGACAAUUAAUUGGGUUCCCUUCCAUGGGAGACUUUGGCUUUCUCUGUUUUUCUUUAUUUAUUUUCGAUCACUGAAGAUUGCUGGGAAUCGUUCUUUCCGAUUCACGGUUCUUUGUCCUUCCCCACUCCUGUUAAUAGGUCGAAAGGGCGGAAGGAAGCCUUUGGGCCAAGGCAGAGUGUUAGACUGAUCACAUCCUCCAUCCGGCCCUCAGCGGGAGUCGCCUUCUUCCUCCCAAGCAUCAGUUUCGCCCUCCCUCCCGGACCCCCCCACCCUUUUUUUCCUUUUCUUUGGGACAUGUGCUGAAGGUAAUACGAUACCUGCUUUAAAAAUGUUUCAUUCCUUCUUUGUGUUUUUAAAAGGGCCCCCCUUUUCUUUCUAAAUUAUUAUUUCUAUUACCUAACAUCGGGGAGUGUUGAUCUUCGGUUGAAAUAUGUUGCUUAAAGACAAUGCUGCUGCUUUGCUUUGUCAUUUAAAGUAUGUGUGGUGGGGGGUUAGAUUCCUUUUUUCUCUCCAUGAGCUUCAGGAUAUCCUCCUUUUCUAAAUCAAAAUUUCAUGCUUAUUCAUCAGGCCACUGAUCUAAGUCAUCUUUGCUUAUUGAGGAAGAAAUACCAAGCACUGUCAUCAAAUAAAAUGAAAACUGACAGGAUAAAAUACUGUCUCAACUGCAACUAAAACCAAUUUAGCUGAUGAGCUUCUACUCUCCAUAUUAUAACCCCAGACAGCUCCGAUGUUAGGCAAUAGGGAUAAUAAUUUAGAAAAAAAAAACCCUUAAAUACAAGGGACGAAUGAAAAGCAGUCUAUGCCUAAGAUGCAGAAAACCCAUCCCAGAUGGAAAGUGUUACAGAUGUGAGUCCUCUUGCUCUGUCCCAGGCAGACAAGUCCAAAAAGCAGAGAAGCAAAGCCAAUUUUUAAAACAGAUUGUUUUGUUUUUAAAGAUUUUUAAAAAAUCAAUCCAAAAUUAUUCUCCAAAAUAAGAAUUUGCUGUGAGAGGGGGAGCUCUGGCUUUCCAAGCCUUGCCUGGUAUAGAAUGCUAUGAUUUUAAGGAGCCAAGUCAUAGAAGAUCAGAAAAAGUAAGUUCACAAUGUAAGGGUCUAAUCAUGUUUUAGGUUCUAUGACAAAUGUAGUGACAUCUGUUUAUAUUCUGUCCAGGAUCAUUUUAAUUUUGCUUCCUAAGCAACCCCUUCCACACCCAACUCCCAAAGCCACUAACUGGUAUCUUCUUGGGAGAGCCAAGGGUGGAAAAUUUUGUGACUAUCUGCUGCAAAAUUUCCAAUUGUCCCUGCCCUUUAAAAUAACAAAGGCCUUUAUUUCUUCACAUGUAGUCAUAUGGUCCCACAGAAAAGUGAUGCUAUUCAUUGGCUCCAGUUUUGCAAAUGCUACUUAUUUUGGCCAAGUCCCAGGUUUAUCUAGUUGAAUUACAUUCUGAUGUCAGGCCAGAUUUGAAAAUGGCCGUCUUCGUGUGCCCCAGUCCUGCGGUUGUAAUGAAGCUCCUGCUGCAAGAAUUACUCAUGCAAGACUAGAAAGGGCAAAUUUUAGCACAUGCUUUCCUUUCUGGCCUCUCUUUUACUAGACAAUUUUGACGUAAUAACAUGGAGAACUUGGAAUUUCCAGUUGUCAGGUUGUCAUUGACUUGUGUUCAUUUUUGUUGGGGUGUUGGAUCAUUCCAAAAAUGGGGAUAUUCUUAUCCCUAAAACCCUUUCAAGGGUUAUGAAAGUUAGAGAUAUCUAAGUUGCAGAAGAGGAGGACCAUGCAAUAAUCAUGUUAGAUGUGCAGGCCGCAUCUUGUAGAGAUGAUUUAUAUGGUAAAUUCAGUCACUGAGUCUGACCAACACUUCCCUUGUCGAUUGAGAGGGGUUUUUGUGUUUCUGUUUUUGUUUUUUGAGACAGAAUCUCACCCUGCCACUCAGGCUGGAGUGAGGUAGAGUGAUCAUAGCUCACUGCAGCCUCGAACUCCUGGUCUUAAGUGAUCCUUCUACCUCAGCUUCCAGAAAAGCUGGGACUACAGGUGAGCGUCACCACACUGGGCUAGUUGAGAGUUUUAUACGUUGACUAUUGUAUAAUCAGGGUGUUGAUCAGGGCUGUGAUGGCCUCAAGGCUCAAUUGGAGGAGCCACUUCCAAGCUCACUC